GAAAGUAAAAAAGGGCGCAUGGCGGAUGCCUUGGCUCUCGGAGGCGAUGAAGGACGUGAUAAGCUGCGAUAAGCUUUGGGGAGGUGCAAAUGACCUUUGAUCCAGAGAUUUCCGAAUGGGACAACCCAAUAUCUUGAAGAGGUAUUAUCCAACGUUGUUGGAGGCUAACGCAGGGAACUGAAACAUCUUAGUACCUGCAGGAAAAGAAAAUAAACAAUGAUUCCCCCAGUAGUGGCGAGCGAACGGGGAACAGCCCAAACCAUCCAUGUUACGGCAUGGGUGGGGUUGUAGGACUACGCCGUUGCAUGAAGACAUCAGAGAAGAACUUUCUGGAAAGAAAGACCAUAGAGCAUGACAGUUGCGUAUUCGAAUGUUGUCGAAGCAUAGUAGUAUCCUGAGUAGCGCGGAGCACGAGGAAUUCUGCGUGAAUCUGCCGGGACCAUCCGGUAAGGCUAAAUACUCCCGAGAGACCGAUAGCGAACCAGUACCGUGAGGGAAAGGUGAAAAGCACUUCGAACAGAAGAGUGAAAUAGUUCCUGAAACCGUGCGCCUACAAGCGGUCGGAGCUCGUUAAUGAGUGACGGCGUGCCUUUUGCAUAAUGAACCUACGAGUUGCCUUUGCCGGCAAGGUUAAGUGUGACGACACACGUAUCCGAAGCGAAAGCGAGUCUGAACAGGGCGUAUAGUCGGCAGUGGCAGACGCGAAACCAAGUGAUCUACCCUUGGCCAGGUUGAAGGCUGGGUAACACCAGCUGGAGGACCGCACCAAUAAGCGUUGAAAAGCUUCUGGAUGAGCUGAGGGUAGGGGUGAAAGGCUAAUCAAACUUGGAGAUAGCUCGUACUCCCCGAAAUGCAUUUAGGUGCAGCCUCGCGGGUUACUGAUGUGAGGUAGAGCGACUGAUUGGAUGCGAGGGCUUCACCGCCUAUCAAGUCCUGACAAACUCCGAAUGCGCAUCAGUUUUACCGCGGGAGUGAGGGCAUGGGUGCUAAGGUCCGUGCCCGAGAGGAGAAGAAUCCGGACUAUCAGCUAAGGCCCCGAAAUGACAGCUAAGUUAAACUAACGAAGUCUGAUUGCUAAGACAGCUAGGAUGUUGGCUUGGAAGCAGCCAUUCAUUUAAAGAGUGCGUAACAGCUCACUAGUCGAGGAGUCGGGCGUGGAUAAUAAUCGGGUAUGAAGUUGUCUACCGAAGCAGUGGGAUCAUUUAUAUGAUCGGUAGGGGAGCAUUCCAGUCGGCGUCGAAGGCGUACCGUGAGGUAUUCUGGAGCGUCUGGAAAAGCAAAUGUAGGUAUAAGUAACGAUAAAGGGGGCGGGAAACCCCCUCGCCGAAAGACUAAGGUUUCCUGAUCAACGCUAAUCGGAUCAGGGUCAGUCGGGUCCUAAGGCUCAGCCGAACGGCGAUGCCGAUGGCAGAAACGGUUAAUAUUCCGUUACUACCUUCAGGAGUGACGUGGAGACGCAGUAGUGACAGUGCCGCCAUCUGACGGAAUAGAUGGUUGAAGGGUGUAGGAGUCGAUCAUGGCAGGCAAAUCCACCAUGAGAUCCGAACCUGACAGUAUGCCGCGUCCUUCGGGACAAGGCAAUAGUGCGCGUAAGCAUGCUGCCGAGAAAAUCCGCUAAACUUAAUCCUGCAGGUACCCGUACCGCAAACGGACACACGUAGUCGGGAUGAAUAUUCUAAGGCGCUUGAGUGAUUCACGGUUAAGGAACUAGGCAAACUGACCCUGUAACUUCGGGAUAAAGGGUCCCUACCCUUUUAUGGGAGGGCGCAGAGAAUCGGUCCAGGCAACUGUUUAACAAAAACACAGGGCUGUGCCAAAUCGAAAGAUCCAGUAUACAGCCUGACACCUGCCCGGUGCUGGAAGGUUAAGAGGAGAUGUCAUCGAUAAGAGAAGCGUUGAAUUGAAGCCCCAGUAAACGGCGGCCGUAACUAUAACGGUCCUAAGGUAGCGAAAUUCCUUGUC
rnacentral:rRNA from 1 species